UACGAAGGGGGCUAGCGUUGUUCGGAAUUACUGGGCGUAAAGCGCACGUAGGCGGAUUUGUAAGUCAGGGGUGAAAUCCCGGGGCUCAACCUCGGAACUGCCUUUGAUACUGCAAGUCUUGAGUCCGAUAGAGGUGAGUGGAAUUCCUAGUGUAGAGGUGAAAUUCGUAGAUAUUAGGAAGAACACCAGUGGCGAAGGCGGCUCACUGGAUCGGUACUGACGCUGAGGCACGAAAGCGUGGGGAGCAAACAGGG
rnacentral:rRNA from 1 species